rnacentral:rRNA from 1 species
UACGAAGGGGGCUAGCGUUGUUCGGAAUCACUGGGCGUAAAGGGCGCGUAGGCGGCUUGAUAAGUCGGGGGUGAAAGCCUGUGGCUCAACCACAGAAUUGCCUUCGAUACUGUCGAGCUUGAGACCGGAAGAGGUAAGUGGAACUGCGAGUGUAGAGGUGAAAUUCGUAGAUAUUCGCAAGAACACCAGUGGCGAAGGCGGCUUACUGGUCCGGUUCUGACGCUGAGGCGCGAAAGCGUGGGGAGCAAACGGG